rnacentral:lncRNA from 1 species
UUAAAUAACAGUCGCAGUUGAAACUUGAGAUUUAAAUGAAAUAAAAAUUAUAUAAAAAUAAAAGAAAAAGUAUUUAACAAUUAUAAAACAGAGCCGUAAAUGGGAACACAAGAGAAAAGAGAAGAAGCACUUUCUUAAAUUGGUUGGCUCUUGUUUACCAGUUCCAUUUCACAUUGUGAUAAACUGACGACCUUUCAACGCGUGUUUGUUUCUUGAAAAGAAGCGAUGUAAGUUAGGAUAUUUUCCUUUAUUUUUCUGUUUCUAUUACCUUGUUUUUUUUUUCUUGCAUGAAUUUGUCCAACCUUGUAAAAUGGAUUGUUGUUUUCCUUUUCUAUUUUGUUAUAUUUUAUUUUUGUAAAAUAUAUCUUGACCGCUGUUAAUUUUUUAAAUAUAAACGUAUAAGCCACGCAUGUAACAGGGCACAUAUACAAAGGAAAAUCGCAUCCAUCCCCAAAGAUGUGCAAAAACCAAGCAUAACUUAUAUCCAACUUUUGGUACCUUUAAACAAAGUGGUUAAACGUAAUCUAGAAUAUUGUUGGUUUUGAAGUAUUAUUACAGUAUCGACCAGACCAUCAGAUAUUAUACAUCGCUGAUCACAAUACGCUUCCAAUUUUUUUCCAGUUUUUUUUUUUUCUUUCAGUAAAAGUUGCAUAAUUCCAACUAAUUUGCUUUUUUGAUUAUAGUAUUGCAAGAUUUGUGUGCUUCGUGUAUAUGUAUGUGUAUAUAUAUAUAUAUAUAUAUACACACACACACACUCACAUCAUAGAGACACGUAUAUAUGUAUACGUGUCUAUAUGCAAAUGCAUGAUCAAGCGUCAUAUUGUAAUAGCUACGGGUAGACCCAUACGUUGUGAGUGAAUUUGGGUUGAUGAGACACUGUUGAGGCCCAUCAGAUGGUUUGUACUUGUAAUUCAAAGGUACAAUUUAGUCACACAUUGUGUCUCGCCGAUUCAGCCAGAGAAUUCAGUUAAGGGUAAAUAUGUCUGAGGAAUGCUCAGCUAUUUAAACGUUAAUUCUACGAACAGUUUAUUCAGUUAAUCGAAUAAUUGUAUCAUGUUUGCUCCACCGAUUUGAUGAUGUCACAUGAUAUAAGAGUUUGCGUGAAAUGCAUGGCUGCCAAGUGACAGCAUGUACUGUAAAAACUCACCUAACAAGUUAUUUUGAAUUUCUUUUAAAUUCUCUUUACACUGACUUCGAACAUCUGAUGAUGUCGACGUGUUCUACGUCCACGAAACUUAAUGUGUAGUUGAGUCAAACCGUUAUGAAAUACAUAAAAGUUCAACUUUAAUGCGUUUAGAGAGUCUAUGCUUGUGAAAGGAAACACACAGUUUGGAUGUCAGAGUGUAAAACGACAAUGCGACAACAUUAGCGAAGACAAUUUCUCUGACCAGGUCCCGGCGCACUUUGAGCUGAGCCAGUGCAAGGUUGAAGAAAAAUUUGGCUUCAAACUUUGAGCUUUAGGUACAACUUUGACACCUACACAUAUAACUAAAGUAACGUAGUUUUUCUCCACUAUUAUUAGUGUUGUAUAUAAUUUCCAAUAUGAAUUAAGGGUAUUUCUUUUCUUUUUUAAUGAUAACUGUAAAUCUCAAAAUAAUUCAAAAUAUAUUCACCAGAGCCACCAAAAUCAAUGUACAGCAUACUGAAUUACUCUCUCUAAGGCAGCAAGGAAAGACAAUAUGCAUGUCUACUUGGUCAGUUUCAAUCUGCUAUAUUCACGUUGGAUACUGCACAUCUGGAAUGGUCGUGUUCUAAACAAUUACAUACAUCUCAGUAUGUAUCAUUUAUUCAUACUGUGACGGCAUGAAUAGCUUGGCCACGUCUGCUGCAUUAAGAUGGUCUCAUCCCUAAAGAUACCUGUGUGUAGAGCUCACUACAAGCACAAGAUCCCAACCUACAUGGCGCUCUUCUACGAGACAGGGACGUUGAAAAUUUUAAACAAAUUGUUUAAUUUUACUUUUUGCUAUGUGUAAUUUUUGUCCGGAGAGACUUUUGUUCAUAUAAUUACAUUGCUGUUCAUGCACUUCAUGCAAACUUCCAGAACCAUUAGAGCAUCGUAUUUGUUGCCUCUCUUUACGUUCUGAUUCCAGUUCCCGCUGGGGCAACUUUGCCGUUCACCCUUUUUGGAUCAAUAAAAUAAAGUACCAGUCAAUUACAAAGGUCGAUGGUAUUGACUAACCCCUUCCUCAAAAUUGCUAGCCUUGUGCCUUAUUCAGAACCCAUCAUUUCAAUAUUACAGAAUAAAUAUUACAGAUGAAUAUGAAACCCGCUCUGAGAAUAACUCGAAAAUGUUAGCAUCUAUUUAAUACCAUAAGGAUGAAAAGAUAUAAAUAACUAUCCCUUCCAUCUUGCAAGCUUAUUGUGUGACAGUAUUUAUGUUUACAGUUUCUGUUCGUUUAAGUUAUGUGUUCAGUCCAUCCACUCAGAAAUCGGUUUAAUUUCUGCGCAGACAACAAAAGCAGUUCUUUUGAUAACUGAUCAAACAAGUAUAAAUGUAACGAUUAUUGUCGACCCUACUGUAACAAUGGACAGUUAUGGCAAGCAUUGUUGAUACUGCUGUGAAGCAAUCUGCUCGGAUCAAUCAAACGCAUUUGUAAACUAAUGGAACUUAACCUACUAACCUUGUAUUGCUAUGCAUGAUGUAAACAUGUCUAACGUGAGAAAAAAAAAUAUUUAAGUGAUAUUUCAAGAAUGGUAAAUGAUAUAAAAGCGGAGCGGAGAGUGUAGAGAAUAUGAUAGUUGAUACACAUACACCCACACGUAUAUAUGCAUACAUACACAUGUGAGUGUGUAUGUAUUUAUAUAUAUGCGCUAGUACUAUGCUACUUGUUGAAUCCUUAACAUAUUUUAUACACAUACACACACGCACGCACACAUGUUUGUCUUUAAUAUUUGUAUGUGUAUUACAUUGCGCAAUCUAAGAAACAGAGCAGCUAAAUGUUUGCAUAUGGGUAUGUUUGUUAUUCCAUUACAAAUAACAGUUGUGCUUGACGAAUUAGAUACGACGUCGAGAAGAUAAUGAGGAUGGCGAUUAAGAAACCUGAGACGUUAUUAUUCAAUCAUUUUAAAAGGGAUUAAGAUUAAGUAAGCAAUUCAAUUUACGUUUAGAAAAUGUUCUAUGUCAGUGAAAAGAUAAUUAUUUAAAAAUUUAUAUCUGAAAUCUGUGCUGUUGGCCGAUUAUUCUAUAUUUUAAGAUAAAUUCACUAUACAGUAUUUCCCACGAAUUACUAUAAUAAUGAAUAAAGGUUAUUACAAAUUAUAAGAAAUAAAGAUAAUUUCUAUUAAAUAAGAGGAUAUUGGAACACUUAAGUAAAUCUCAGUGGGUAAGAUAUUGGGUGACUUGCUCCAUGAAUAAAUGGCAGACAGUGCUGCAGCUCCAAACAAAAGAGGGACUCGUGAAAACCAAAGCAAUCCCCUUUAGAAGAGGAAUAUUCCAGGGAGACACGCUCUCUCCACUCCUUUUCUGCUUAGCACUGACAUGCUAAAUAGAACAGGAUGCAGAUACAAAUGUUACGGCAAAGCAAUCAGCCACCUUUUAUAUAUGGAUGACCUAAAACUAUACGCUACAAAUGAUAAACAGCUGAAAACUACUACAGACAGUACAUUGAUUUACCAAAGAAAUAGAAAUGAAAUUUGGAUUAGAAAAAUGUGCCAAAGCAACCCUGAAAAGAGGAAAACUAGUUAAGAGUAGCAACAUCACACUAGAUAUAGCCAAUGAAAUAAGAGAAUUAGACCAAAGCCAGACAUACAAAUAUUUAGGAAUCUAUGAACUAGAUAUGAUACAACACACACAAAUGAAAGAGAAAAGAAAGGAAGAAAACUAUAGACGAGUUAUAUCAACACUAAAAUCAGAGCUCAAUGCUAAAAACAAGAUAAUAGGUAUUAACACUUUAGCCAUCUCAGUUAUAAGUUACAGCUACAAUAUCCUAACUGAACACUAAAUGAACUAACCAAAAUAGACAGGAAAACAAGAAAAAUAAUGACAGGAUCUAUGAUGCACCACCCAAAAUCUGACAUAGAAAGGCUAUAUAUACAACGUAUAGGAGGUGGUAGAGGCUUUAUACAGCUGGAAAACCAUUAUAAAAUAACCACCAUAGGACUGCAAAAAUACCCACUUCAGAAGCAAGAAAAACUAGUACAAAUAGACACAAAACACGAGCAAAACAAAAAACCGUUCUCAGUAUUUAAGGAAGGUGACAAAUACAAACAAGAAAUCAUACUACCUAACAAAUAUGAAGAAGAAGAAACAGCAAAAGCUAUAAAACAAAUGAAAUUCAAACUAAAACUAGAACAUCAACGGACCAUGAUAAAACGAUGGCAAGAAAAGCCCCUUCAUGGCAAAUACUGGACUAAACUAAAUGCAAAAGAAAUAGAAAAAUCCCAGCAAUGGUUGAGAAGCUCAGGACUCAAAGCAGAGACUGAGGGGUUUUUAACUGCAGCACAAGACUAAAGCCUCCCCACCAGAAAUUACCAAAAACAUAUAAUGAAAAGAAACAUAACAAGUAACUGCAGAAUAUGUGGAGAUGGACAAGAAACUAUAAAUCGUAUUAUCUCUGGUUGCCCAAUCCUGGCUAAGAAGGAAUAUAGUCACAGACACGACAGAGUUGGGACCUACAUACACUGGAAGCUAUGCCAACACUAUGGAAUAACAACAGAAAAAAGAUGGUAUAGGCACACACCAGAAAAGGUCACAGAAAACGAAAAAGCAACCAUAUUUUGGGAUAUGCCAAUACACACGUAUAGAGAAAUUAAGGCCAAUAGGCCAGAUAUAGUUGUCAGAGAUCAUGAAAAAAAAUUUUCUAAUUGAUGUAUCAAUACCAGCAGAUGACAACGUUUCUCUAAAAGAAAUGGAGAAACUUUCAAAAUACAAAGACCUGGAAAUAGAGAUAACUCGAAUGUGGCAUCUAAAAACAGAAACACUUCCUAUCACAGUAGGCGCAUUAGGUAUGAUAAAAAAUAUUUAGACAAAUACAUAACAAAAACACCAGGACUUACAAAUAUAUAUAACAUACAGAAAAUUGCACUACUGGGCACUGUACACAUCCUACGCAAAACACUUUCAAUAUAGUAACCUUAACAGCAUCACAGCACGUACCAAGGCACAUAGAGCUGCGCUCGGUAGUGAAGUGAAAGCACGCUAUAAAAAUAAAACUACUGAAUAAUAAUAAUAAUAAUAACAACAACAAUAACAAUAAUAAUAUAUUUAUAAAAAACGCCUUUUCCACUCCUACAUAUUUUCGCAUUGUUCAAUGAAAGACUUAACUGAUUCUGAAUAUUUUAAAUGUUUUCGAAAUAAAACUUUAAUGAUUUUGCCAAUUAGUUAAAAUGUUAAUUUAACGUUUCACUAAUUUCUAAUUAAAUAGUUAUUAUAUCACAGGACAGGCCGUAUAAACCACAACGAUAUUAUUUACUGCAAAUGAAUUGUGACGUUCAUAUAUUUCUAAAACGUAAAUUAUUUUUGUUUUUUAAACGGCCGUUGUGUAAGGCUGAAAAGUACAGUGACGUAGCUAAUGUGAGCACUGCCUGGGGCAACCCUUGAAUUUGCCGCUCACAGAUGAGCUUCCACAAAAAUACAUAUUGUACAGAGCUUCUUUUUUAAAAUGUUAUAUAUAUAUAUGUAUAUAUAUAUAUAUAUAUAUAUAUAUAUAUAUAUAUAUAUAUAAAUAAAGGAAAUGAAGAAAAUGCUGACAAAAUAAUUUAAGUAGGGGAGAGUGUAUUUAAUUAGGUGAAAGUUCUUUUUACCGGUUGCGCAUUUGUUAUGCUUAUCAAAAGAUAUUUUUUUAAGAGAGAUAGAGUUCCUUUCUGAUAGAUUUUUUUUCUCUUAUCUGACUUUAUGUUGGGUUUGCUGUCUCUUAUAUGUGAAAAAAGAGGCUCCAGAGUUGUUUAAGAUUUGCUUGGUUUCGCGCCUAAAAUUUAUUGUGGACAAUGGUCAAUACAAUUUUGAUUGGUCAUUAUAAAAGGGUCACGUGAAUGUUUGAAUGGAAGUUGGUGUUGGGGUAAGAAAAUAGGCUCCAGAGAUGUUAAAAUUUGGCUAGUGUCGCGCCUAAAAUUUCUUAUUGGUCAUAAUAAAGAGGUCACGUGGAUGUGGUCAUAAUAGAGAGAUCACGUGAAUGUUUAGAAUGAAUGUUGAUGUGGGUGGUGUAUGGAGUUUUCGAAAAUAGCGUUGUUGAAAAUUCUUAUUGUUCAGGCUGGUCAGUAGACGUCAUGUGGAUAUUUUAAAUAGCUUUUUAGUGCGUAGUUAAGGAGUGUAUUUUCCGCUUGACUGAAUUUGAGCUGGAUAAGUAAGUUCGUUUAGGACAGGAAGAGCUAUAUGUAUGUAUGUGUGUGCGCGCGCGCGUAUGUGUGUGUGUCUGUUUAUAUGUAUGUUGGGGCGCGCGCGCGUGUAUAUAUGUGUGCGUGUGUGGGUACAAUUUUCAAUAUUUAUAGUUCUGCUGGCCUUGUGCCUGUAUCGGGAAGCAACGUGUUUGUGUGAAGUCAAUAUUUACAGUCAUAUAGCUCUUCCGAACUUACUAACGAACUUACUUAUCCAGCUCAAAUUCAGUCAAGCGGAAAAUACACUCCUUAACUACGCACUAAAAAGUUAUUUAAAAUAUCCACAUGACGUCUACUGACCAGCCUGAACAAUAAGAAUUUUCAACAACGCUAUUUUCGAAAACUCCAUACACCACCCACAUCAACAUUCAUUCUAAACAUUCACGUGACCUCUCUAUUAUGACCACAUCCACGUGACCUCUUUAUUAUGACCAAUAAGAAAUUUUAGGCGCGACACUAGCCAAAUUUUAACAUCUCUGGAGCCUAUUUUCUUACCCCAACACCAACUUCCAUUCAAACAUUCACGUGACCCCUUUAUAAUGACCAAUCAAAAUUGUAUUGACAAUUGUCCACAAGAAAUUUUAGACGCGAAACCAAGCAAAUCUUAAACAACUCUGGAGCCUCUUUUUCACAUAUAAGAGACAGCAAACCCAACAUAAAGUCAGAUAAGAGAAAAAAAUCUAUCAGAAAGGAACUCUAUCUCUCUUAAAAAAAUAUCUUUUGAUAAGCAUAACAAAUGCGCAACCGGUAAAAAGAACUUUCACCUAAUUAAAUACACUCUCCCCUACUUAAAUUAUUUUGUCAGCAUUUUCUUCAUUUCCUUUUUUUAUAUAUCACAACUCGUGUUCCACAUCUCCUUUUUAAAUAUAUAUAUAUAUAUAUAUAUAUAUAUAUAUAUAUAUAUAUAUAUAUAUAUAUAUAUAUCGUUCGUAGAAAUACAUAAAUCCGGAGGAGAAGCACACUCUAAGAUGUAGAGCAGUUAAUAUUAUGAUGGAAAGAGGUCUUAGGCCAGCAGUGUUUGGGGGUCAGAAGAUAUACCGUAAGGCCCACCUUUUAUGAGCCACGUCUGCGCAUAUAUAUAUAUAUAAAAACACACACACACACACACACACUAGGAAUUCAAAUAAUCAGAGCUUACAGUAAGAUCUAUCGUGAUUAAGGCUAGGAUUUAACCUCACCGUCGUGUUCUGAAAAUCUAAGAAUCCCAAUGAUGAAGAGCAUCUUUUACUUGUUUUAGUCAUUAGACUGCGGCCAAGCUGGAGCACCACCUUGAAGAUUUUAGCCAAAUAAAUAGACCCCAGCACAUUAUUUUAAAGCCUAAUGCUUAUUCUAUCGGUCUGUUUCGUCGAACUGCAAAGUUACGGGGAUGUAAGUACACCAAAACUGGUUGUUAAGCGGUGGAGGGGGACAAUUCACGUAAGAGUCCGACGGUCCCUAUCUGAAAGUAUUGAUUUUCUUCCGGAGUUUUGUUUCGACGAGGAGGUGUUUCCCUCUUUUUCACAGGCUGUCAUUACUUUCGAGACAGUACUUCUUGAUACACCAAACAUUUCGACUGUUUUCGUUACGCUAGCGCCUACCAUACGAGCACCAACAAUUUGACCUGUUUGAAAGUCCGAUAGAUCUGUCAUUUUAAUGCAUUUCAAUUACCUUUUUCUGAUGAUGUCUGAAAAGAAACAGCAAUUUUAGCAAAACAUAUUAAGCAACAUUAAUAAUGAAUAAAAAAAACAAAAAUAAACAAGCUUUUGACUGUUUUAUAGAUAUUUCAAAAUUAUGAUGCUAGGUGUUUCCAUUAUUUUGUCCAACCCCUGUGUAAUAUAUAUAUAUGUAUUUGUGUGUGUUGGAUGAUGUAGCGCUUAUGUAACUCACACAAAUACGAAACAUCUGUCAAGUAAUGGAUGAACUCCGCAUCUCCUUCGCACUCAGAGUGUGGGGACUGUGAUGCCACUGUGGUAGGCCUCUUGACCCCACAGAUCUUCACGGUCUGUCUUCCACUUAAAUGUUGGCCGCUUCGCUUGUCACACCGAGCUAAACCUAAUCAUUAAGCGAACCCUAGUUCGGAUUAAUAUCCCCUCAAUUCUGGAGCCAUAGGGGUUAUCCAGAAGUGAUGGAAAGAGACCAGAUUGUCUUACCCUCUGCCUCCGGGUUCGAGGUAGGUACCUCAUUUGGGACACCACUGUCAGCGACACCUUUGUUCCUUCCCACAUCCUGGAUGCUGCAAUUAAUGGGAAGGUCACUGCUUCCGUAGCCGAACGGAAGAAAACCCUGAAGUAUCAGGACCUGACAGUGAAUUAUUACCCCCAACCUGUGGCGUUUGAGACGUUCGGUGGAAUUGGGUUACUAACCAUGAAGUUCUUGUCAACGUUGGCGGCUCGCCUCGCUGAUCGUGCUGGUUUGCUUCAGUGGGUUCCGUUAAACCUUUUAGUGUGUGACCAAUUGCUGUGAUAAAAAGAAAAUUCCCUUCAAAUGGUUUCAAUACAGUUUCAACAGAAAGAUUUGGAAGAAUUAGAUGAAAGUUUUCCGAUAAUUUUUCAUGUAAAUAAAUGUUUGUUAAUUUAAAAAUUUGCCAGCAAAAUCUUAUAAAAUGACAAUGUUCUAAAAAAUGUACAUAUUUAUAUGUUACAUAUAGAAAGUAAUGGAAUAAACAUCCAUUCUCUCACUUAGCUUCUCUUAUUUGGUCAAUUUUUACAUACAUAACGACAGAUAGAUAUAGAUUAACUACGUUGUAUACCAUUAUAAUAUUAUUUUCACAUAGAUGUAGUAUGCUUUAAAUACACAUAAAAACGUCACUCGGGGUGCCACCCACCACCUUGCUCCCCUCUACUCGAGUUACGCAACAGCUUAAGUACGUCAUGGUUUUAAAGUUGGCAGUUUUAAAUUUAUUCGUUUUCUCUCUUAUUCCAUCUAAGGAAAGAGUUCAUCAAAGACUGUGAUAUGUUUUAUCUUCUCCAUCUUCGCGCCUUCAUUCCUUCUUGAGUAUCAUUUCAUUUCCUUUCUGUGACACACAUACACACACACACGACACUCUUAUACUUAGAUGUAAUGUGCGUAGAUCCCCAUUAAGUUUGCGUCAUUCAUGUAAGAGAUAUUUUGAAGAGGUAUCUAUUAAAUUAUAGUUCAGCUAUUACCGGAAAAUGUAGAUUUUCGAAUUGCAGAAAUAUUGUAGGAGAACAUGUACACUAGAAGCAAAAGGCUAGAAUAUCUACAUUUCAAGAAAUUUAAUGAAUAUUGAAAAUUCACAGCUGAAACUUGAUAUCUCAUCGAGUUAAUAUUUUCGAUAUUUGCUGUUCUUUUAUCAUCUUACUUGUUUCAAUCAUUGGACUGCAUUCGUGCUGGGGCACUGAGGAAUUUAGUCAAUCGAAUGAGUACCACGUAUUAAAAAAAAAUUAGUCUAUCAAAUAGUUACCAUACUUCAGCGUUUUUCAAACUUUUUUGAAGGGUCGGCACCAAAGUUUGAAAAACGCUGCCAUUCUCUAUUUGCCGAAACGUUAGGCUUCCGUGAUGUAUGCAGACUAACACCACAAAACUGCGCACACAUGCAUGCAUGCAUGUGUGUGUGUGUGUGUGUGUGUGUGUGUGUGUCUAUAUAUAUAUGUAUGUAUGUAUAAUGUCACCUCCCAAAACUAGAAAGCAUUAGUUAUCAUGCUACCAUAACAUUACCAAUGAAGAUAAUAUAUGUAAUCAGUAUGAGCCCAUAACAAGUUCGAAGGAUAACUCAGAAUAACGAAACCCCAAGAUAUAUGAAUAUUCAGACAAUGACCAUAUCGAACAUGCAUUCUCAAGAUCAACUGCUUAACCGGUAUCAUUGUAGUUUCGACAUCUGGACAGUAUCAUUCAAUUCGACGGUGUCAACGGUAUAUUAUAUGUAGUAUUAGUUUAAGUAUAUAUUCAUUAAAUUUGGCUGAAAUUGAUGGGCGAGCGUUUGGCCCAAUCGUAUGAGCAAGGAGCCGUGUUAGCGGUGAUUUGAGGGUUAGUUCGUAAAUUGUCGCUUCAAAUCGGAGAAUAUAUAUUAUUAUAAAGUUAUAUAUAUAUAUAUAUAUAUAUAUAUAUAUUAUCUCUAUAUAUAGAGUUUAAAAAAACGAAAAAAAGGCACAAGGAAAAAGCAAGAACGCGAGGCAAUGUAUUAGAAUAUAUAUAUAUAUAUAUAUAUAUAUAUACACACACACAUACAUGUAUAUACAUAGGAAUAGGAAAAUCAUCUGGUUCACACCUCCCUACUCAUCCGAGGUGACCUUCAAUAUAGGCAAGUGUUUCUUAGCACUGAUAGAUAGACAUUUUCCAGUCAACCAUACUUACAGGAAGCUCUUCAGUAAACUCAGCUUAAAAAUCAGUUUCAGCUCAACUGAAUAUAAUCGCACACAACACAAAAACCACAAUACAAAAAUAGCUGUUCAUGCAGGGAUAAAAAAGCUUGCAUGUCCUAGACCAUCAUCUACGAAGAUACCGUGGGCUCUAUACCCACUAAAGACACAGUUUCGACGAAGAAAUACGUGGGCCUUACAGAGGGUAAUUUCAAGGCCAGGUUCAAUAAUCACACCUUGAGCUUUAGGCUCGUUUUCCUGAGACAAAAGGAAAACGACAAAAUUAUCCAGUCAUAUAUGGUCAUUAAAAGAUAAAGGUGUCUGUUACAACAUCCAUUGGAAGAUUUUAGCCAAAUGUAAGCCCUACACCAACGGUAGUGGAAAGAUGGCUCUUCUGGAAAAGCAGCUUAGAUCCCGCUACAUGUCUGAAUUCAAGGAUAGAACUUUUCGGAUCAUGCCCAUAUGUGGCCAAAUUUUUGUUACGUUUUUGGUCCCCCCCGAGACUACAGAUAGAACUUGCCUUCUAUAUUGUGUCCACGCACAAGUUUUUUUUAUCUCAUUAUACUUUUUACUUUUAUUUUAUUUAUAUAUUUUUUAUACGUAUAUUUCUUACAUAUUAUAGAGAAUUUGGUUUAUAUAUAUUUUUUACACAUAAUUUUUUUCUGUACUCUACCUUCCACCCUGCAUUUUCCCCUGUAUCUAUAUAGAUGUGUAUAUGGAAGCCUUUGUGCGCGCGGGUGGAUGUGUGUAUAUAAAUGUGUGCGUACAUGCGAGUACGUGGUUUACUCUUUGUGUAAUCCCUUAUGCCUUUUUUCUCUAUUGUUACCCUUAACCCUGUUUUUUCUUGUGCUUGUACGUAUGUAGACGUAUGUAUGAACUUUUACGGUGCACGUGUGUGUGUGUGAGUUUGUAUGUAUAUGUAUAUACAUUUGGCGAAGGAUGCGAGAGAAGAUGUGUACGUUUUUUUAGUGAGGGUGGAUGAAUGUAUGCGUAUCCACGUGAGUGUGCGGGCGCACAUGUGUAGGUAUGAACAGGCGCGCUUACACGAAUACUAUGAACUUUUUACCCCCUUACCUUAAUUAGCGGUCAUUCGAAUAGCUCUUUUGUCUUAUUAGCGGUCAAUAACACAGUAAUUUCCCUUUGUAUAACGGUCAUUUUUCAUAGCGUUUUUCCGAUGGCCGGAUAACUGAAGAGAUGGUGGCGUGGAUCCGAAACUCAGCAUCCGAAACUCAGAGUUUUAUCUUGGCUACUGAAUAAUUGUCACAUAUUAUAUUUACAGAUAAAUUCCUCUAUUUACAUAAUAUCGAGGUCUCUUUCUUUCUUUUGUUAUCUUACCGUUUUUAUCAAUAUAUAUAUAUUAUUAUUAUUAUUAUUCAGUAGUCUUAUUUCUAUCACGUGCUUUCACUGCACUACCGAGCGCAGCUGUGUGUGCCUUGGGUAUGUACUGUGGUUUGUUGUGAUGCUCUUAUUGUUACGGUAUUGAAAGUGUUUUACGUAGGAUACUUGUAAGUCCUGGUGUUUUAGUUUUGUAUUUGAAUGUUUCUUUUUACCAUAGCUAAUGCGCCUACAAUAUUAGGAAUUGUUUCUGUUUUAAGGCUCCACAUUAGAUUUAACUCUAUUUCCAGAUCUUUAUAUUAUUAAUAUUAUUAUCAGCAGCUGACACGACUUCUUUGGGCGCAGAUCUAUGGCCUCUCGAGACCGAUGGAUGCUUACUACUACUACUGCAGUGAAAGCAUGUGAUAGAAAUAAGACUACUGAAUAAUAAUAAUGUCAAAUGUUUUGGUGCAUGACUUUAGACCACUCUAUAUGUGUGCGUGUAUGUGUAAGAAAUCGGUUUAAAAUAAUGGUCAUUACAUACUUUCCUUUAUUGGAGCAAAUUUGGCUUACAGCUGUUUCCAGUAGUCAUUAUAGGUUCAUUUCUGAUAAGUUUACUCAAUUGGUCUAUUGAUCAAUUAAGGAAAAUUGAACGACCUAAGAAAAUUAAUGCUACUUUCAUCAGAGCCAUUUCUGGUUAUAACCAGAAAUGGCUCUACAUCCAAAGCGUUGAUUGAUUCAUACAACUAAAUGUCACACGGAACAACCUUAAAGGCUGACUCACUACGAAGUCUCCACGAUGUAGAGUUACUUCAAUUUCAAUACAUGGUCUCAGAUCAAGUCACUUUGAGACUGUGAAUUGAAACGGAAGCAUGUACAUCGUGGAACAGACAUACUAGCCAUCUAAUCACGCGAUCACUUGAUCGACCGGGCUAUAGGAUGUUAAUACAUCGCUGGUUACAAUGCGCUUUGCAUCGUUUUAAUUUUCGAAUGAUGCCACCUCAUCGCAAAGCUGAGUGAACUGGAAAAACGUGAAACGAAACUUUUUGUUCAAGAACACAAUUCGCCGCCCGGCUCGGGUAUCGAACUCACAAUCUAGCAAUCGUGAGUGCAACACCAUAACCACUACGUCAUUGCUUUUCACAACCAUUUAAUAAUACACAAAAUCUGUUAUAUUUACUUUAAUUUUAUUAUAUGAGUUACCAAAAUUUUCGUCUCACAACUGCAACCUCGUGACUGAUUCAAUUGCAGUAGAACUGUAUCAGAGACCAGAUCAAAAUUAUGCGACGAAAAUUUUGACAUAUCAAAUAAAUUCAGAGUGAAUUUAACGGCUUCAUCUUUACACAUUAUUGUCUCGAGUCUCUGACAAAAAGGGCCGGUUACCUGGUUUCCAUGGCGUAUAAGUGACCGAGAUUACGACAUUCCUCUUGGACAGGACGCCGGUAAUAAAGUCGUAGGGAAAAAAGUCAGUUAUAAAGUCAAAAUUUUGGCUAGAAACAAAAAGUCGCAAUUUAUGGGAUCCGGACAAAACCCUGCUAGAACACCACCACCCCAAGACAAAACAUCCCUAGAACAAAAACUCCUCGGACAACCCCCAGGCAAAACACCUGUGCCUUUUUUUUUUUACCUGGAUUCGGGACACCAGUCCAUUGCAGGGUUAAACUCAUUUUUAACUGAGUGGACUGAAACAACGUGAGACAAAGUGUUUUGUUCAAGAAUACAGCACAUCGUCCGGUCCAGGAAUCGAAACCACGAUCUUGCGAUAAGUGAGUGCAACACCCUAACCACUAGGCCACGCACUUUCACACUUUAUGAGUUAUUAGAUGGUUUCUCUGCGAGGCAAUUGUAAUACUUUUAUUCAUUGGUUUUCCUAACUUUGAAGAUAACAUAACCAGUCUUUCAACAUGGAUAAACAAACGUUUAAGAGAUUCAAAACAUAGUUUACUGUUACCUCUUUUAACUACGGUUUUUAUGAAAUCAUCGAAACUAAUUGUCUUCGCGAUAUGACUGUUUUAUCUUUUACUUGUUUAGUCGGACAAAUCGCCCCAGUACUUACUUUUAAGGUUGCUACUCAUUCUUGCGGUCUCUUUCUCCCACUAAGUUAUGGAAACGUAAACCAACCAACACUGGUUGUGAAGUAGUUGUAGGUAACAGACACACAUACACGACAGGCUUCACACAGUUUCUGUCUACCAAAUUCACUUCCAAGACAUUGGUCGGAGUGGAGCUUAUAGUUGCAGACACUUGCCCAAAGCACCGUGCAGUGGGACCGAACCUGGAAUUGCUAGAAUUAAUAAUAUACUUCAGGCUCAUAUUCAUACCUCGUUUUAUUUAAUGUAUUUCUAAUGUUCGUUUAUUUAGUAACGCAAUAUGUUUAUAUAGUUGAAAUACCUACCGUUUUAUUUUUCUUCAUUUAAAGAAUUUCAAUUGCGGCGUGGAAGAUGUUUAUAAGCCAUUUAAAAAGCACACAAAAACUUAGAUUCACUUCAACAUUUAAAUUUUAUUUGUCAUAAUAUUUUCGUCGCUUUGAGACCGCAACAAAAUUCCGUGCUGCAUAAAAUAAUUUCAUUUAAUGAGAAAAAGCAGAAUUUGUUUCUUCGGGUCAUACGCAGUUAAAUUAGGCCAAUUUUCUUCGCUCAGAAUGCUAACCAAAAUAUUAGCAUAGGAAAAUGGAAUACAUAUAAUUAUAAUAUAAUAUUUUGAAUUGUCAGGGUGUUUUAUGGUGAUCAUAUAUAUUACAGAUUAGUGUUUCGACUAAACAUUGUAAAAUGCAAAUUAUACCGCUGAAUAACAGGCCAUCACGACUUCUUACGAACAGUCAUUUCCACACAACUGUGUUCCAACUCGGUGUUGAAAUGGUGAUUAAACUAGGUCAAAUUGAUCUAAGGUUUAAAAUGUUUUCUUCGUGAUUGUAUCAGUAGCAAAAUGGAUGGCCAAGAGCGAGAAUGAAUUCUGAGUUUAAACAGGUUAUUAAAUGAGACAUGGGUCACAAAAAGUUGAGUAGAACCUUUGAAACGGCUUUCUGUCUCCAUCGUUGAUAUAAAAAGAAAAUUGAUUACAAGAUUGUCAGCAAUAAGAACAAAGCAAAGCUAAAACCUAAACUAAGCAAACUAAAAGGUUAGUUGACGAAUCUCAGCAAGAUUUCCCAUUAUAACAUACCAUAAUAAUAACGGCAUUACUCUUCUUCAAAAUGCUCUCUCUCUCACAUACUGCCCAAUCAUCAUGUAUGACAUUGUUGUCAACUACAAGUGCUUUCUCAGAUUAGGGCGCAGUAAGUGAUAAUGGAAACGUUAUGAGCGGAGCCAUAACUAAAUAGGUGGAAGGUGUUAUUAACCAUUUUUCAUUUGUUUAUGGUGUCCUCUAUACAAAGGUCUAAAGUCGGUAAAAAGGCUAAAGUAAUAUAAGCUAAAUAAGAGGAGUCAAAAAGUAGAAAUAUAUGAACGUAAUUCAAAUUCAAAGGAAAGAAUAAAACUACGUAAAUAUGUCAGUUAGCAAGCGAUGUUUGUGAAAAUAUAGCUCUGUACUCACACAAACUCUUUGGAUUUCAUAAACAAGACAAUUAGAGAAUGCUAGUCAUCAAGUGUGUGUGUGUGUGUGUGUGUUAAAUUAAGGAUGUUAUUAACAGAAAUAAAAUGACUGACGAAGCGGAUGAAACUUUCGUCAAAAUGCAUCACUAUUUCCGUUUUUUACGUUUUACUUACCUAUUUAUUUCUAUAUUAAAAAAGAAAAAACGCCGGAUACAUAUUUUAGCAUGAUGGUAAUGGGUGGUACUAGUUAAAUGACGGAAUGGGUUGCGUAUUUUAGAAAGUUUAAGAUAAACAAAUGUUAUAAAAAAAACAUAGAGAAGUAGUUUAUCGCAUGUAAUGACGAUCAUAAGGAGGAUGGCGAUAAAGCUGACGACAUCGACGAUAAGAACGAUGGCAUCAACAACAAUGAGGAUGAUGAUGCUGAUGACGGUGAUUGUAAUAGUGUAAAGAAGGGAAAUAACUCCGAGGCAGAAAAUUAAUUUCAAAAUCUGUUUAAUACAGAUGUUACAUUAUCAUUGAAAUAGGUUAAUGGAAAUGCUAUAGAAAUCAACCUGUUGCACUCAGAAAGUUUUUUGCUUUUUAAGGUUUAUUCAGAGGAAAAAAAUGAAACAUUGAAAGAUGUUUGGCAAUAAUAAGGAAAUGAUAAUGUCACGAAGGACAGAGUUUAUAAGUUCAUUGUUCAUUAUCAAAAGCUUGUUGAAUCAUAAUUUCAAAACAUGGGUGAAAAGGAAAAAGAAAGAUGACAGAACAAGAGUUUAAGAGAUCAAAGGGUUAGCGAUCUGGAGUUGUUUGAACAUACAAUUGUCCUCUGGUAAGGUAGUGAAUUUCAUCACUUUUUAAAAACUUUUUAGUGACCAAAACUAGCUCUCAGAUUUUAGAUUCUAAACGAGGUAUCAACAAUUUCUUUUCUUUUUGUAAUGACUCAUUUUUAAUUUUUUUUUUUUGCCCAUGGCCUGCAUAUAUAUCAUAUAUCUUACAUGUAAAAAAUAUUCCCGUGUAUUCUCCACCAUUUCUUUCACUUGCAAAAAUUAAACAAUUCAUGAUCUAAAGACUAUUUAAAAGUCAUCAAUGGUUCAUUGACCCACAAAUACAUUAAAUUUUAAACUUUUCAGAACAGUUCUGAUGCCCAUGGACAACAACAUCUCAGUGUACCAUUUGUUGGCUGCAGCCUGACUUCUGCUGGUCCCUAUUCUAAACUUUGCACUAUAAGUUGAUACAUAUGGUGAUUGGUCAAAAACAGCCAAUGAAGUACCAAAAGCAAAAAUUAAUCAGUAAUUCAUUGAAAGCAAAGCUGUUUGAUAAACCACAAAACAAUAAUUUAAUCAUGAUUGAAUGAGCUGCAAGACAAAAUAUCUAUGCAAGAGAUACAUUUUAUAUGAAAUGAACAUUUUGUUACUGACAUGCCUCAAAAAUAACAAGCAGAGUAUAUCAUCAUUAUCAUUUAGCAUCUGCUUUCCAUGCUGGCAUAGGUUGAACAAUUUGACAGGAUCUGACGAGCAGCAGGACUGCAUCAAGCCUUAAUUGCAGCUUUGGAAUGAUUUCUAUGGCUGGAUGCAUUUCCUAAUGCCAACGACUUUACUAUGUGUCCUGGGUACUUUUCCAUAUGACACCAGUCAAGUUUUCCAUGUGGCUCGGGAAUGGUAGAUCAGGAAGUAGGGAAUGAUGAGUGAAGUGUAGCAGUAGUGGAGAGGGAGAUGUAAGGGCACAUAAUAGUGUAUUUACUUAGCUUGACAUGCCUUCUCAAGCAUAGCAAACCACCAGAAGUUAUGGUCCCUUGUUGUUCCAUCGCGUGAGAACUGGUGUUGGUUUAUUUGUGUUCUGUAACUUGGUGGCAAAGUGCCAGGCAUACUCACAACAGACGGGGAUCAGAAUAUAAAUGGGAUGGUUGAGUAAAGGAAGAGAAAGAUAUAGAUGGUAGUAAGUGCCAAGGCAUACCCUUGAGGUUUGAAGGUCAUAAUAUACAUGGCAGGAUAUGUUCUGUAAAAGAGACUGAUAGAAUAAGUACCAGACUUGAAAAAAGUACUGAGAUCAAUUUGUUCAACUAAAACCUGUCAAGGUGCUGCAACAUUAAUUAGUUUUUGAGUAGUAAAAAGAUUGUAUCCUUUUAUCAUCUCAAAAGAAAAAAAAAGGACUUUAUUUCUCAUUGCAGUUAACCAAAAGUGUUACUCCUUCAUUCCCCUCCCCAUCUAAAAAAAACAACAAAAAAUUCUCCCAAUUGCUGGUGUCCUUUAUCUUCUUCCAGCUAUGCUACUCUGUGUGUGUGUGUGUCAUCACCAUUCAGCAUCAACUUUUCUGUGCUUGCAUGGCUGAGAUUGAAUUUAUUAAAGCAGAAUUUCUAUGACUGGAGGCCCUUCCAGUCAACACUCCUCACCUGCUUCCAAGCAAGGUAAUAUUUCUUCAUGGUCAGACAUGUUUUUCAUGAAAGACUGGAAACGAACAUCAAUUGUAUGAUGGUGAUAGUUAUUUACAACCAUCACAUGAUGUCAAGGUAAGGGUAUAUACAAAUGCAUACAACACACACGUGUGUGUGUGUGUGUGUGUGUGUGUGCAUAUAUACCCAUAUAGUAGAAGACACUUGCCCAAGGUGCUGUAUGCUGAGACUGAACUCUGAAACUACGUGUUUCAGAAAAAGCUUCUCAACCAUACACCAACACUAGAAAAAAUGGGAUACAUUUAAAACUAUUCCUCUCUACCACAAGGAAAUCACUGUCUCUUCUAAAUCCUGGCAUUAAUGAAAACACUAGAACAAAGAGAAGAAUGGCAUUCACUGGAACUUGUUAGACUACUGGCGAUUGUUUGUAUUUGCAAGAAUCAACUUUAUAAUAAACACUUAAAGGGUGUAUAUUUUUCAUUCAUAUCCAUUCACCUAAUUUCUUCUUUGAUAAAGAGAGCUGCUCAAAAUGUUAUUUACUACUUCCUCCUACACCACAACAUAUAACUGCAAAUUUCAAUCACAUUCUACAGAAAGGAUGGUUGAGAACAGAGUUGUAGGUAGCUAUUCACCAAUGUACACUAAGUUCACUGUGGCUACUUUUAACAGCCUCAUACAAAGCCUGGAUUGUUCUUGUUACUAAUUCUCCCACAUAUAGCAUUGAAUAAAAUAACAUCAAUGUAAUACCAAAGAUGGUCUUUUUCUUUCUUAUCAUUACUUGAGGAUAUCAAAUAAAUACAUAGAAUUGAUUUAUUAUGUUGACACAAAGACUUAAAUUAGCAAUAGAAGGGAAUGGUUGACUGAAGAGACACCGGUACAUGGCUAGUACUUAUUUUAUUGAAAUAAGGGGAUACAAACAUAGCUGAAUGGUUAAAAAGUUUGCUUUGCAAUAGAGAGGUUCUGAGUUCAGUCUCACUGCAUGUUAUCUUGAGUAUAUAUCUAUAAUCAUAACCUCAGGUUGACUCAUCCUUUCUAAGUGAAAUUCAAUAGAUGGGAGCUUUUUGAAAGGCUGUUGGGUGGAUUGUUCCUAAGGUCUAUAUACAUUGUGUCAUGCUGAUUUAUUACACUAAGGCAGUGUUUCUCAACAUUUUACCUUUGUGUAACCCUGAAAAUAAAUUACAUGUCUCAAAGAACUCCUGCACAAAAACAAAAAAUUAUGUAUCAUAUCUUUCUCAUAUUUUUUAUUUAUAGUUUAUAUAGUAAAUAUCAUAUAUAUAUCAUCAUCAUCAUCAUAUCAUCGUUUAACGUCCGUUUUCCAUGCUGGCAUGGGUUGGACGGUUUGACUGGGGUCUGGGAAGCCAGGAGGCUGCAGCAGACUCCAGUCUGUUCUGACAGUGUUUCUACAGCUGGAUGCCCUUCCUAACGCCAACCAGUGAGAGUGUAGUGGGUGCUUUUUAUGUGCCACUGGCACAGGGGCCAAGCAUCAACCACAUUUAGAUGGUGCUUUUACAUGCCACCGGCAUGGGAGCCACUCAAAGCAGUGCUGGCAUCGGCCACAUUCAGAUGGUGCUUUUUAAAUGCUACCAGCACAGGAGCCAGUCAUCUAUAUAUAUAUAUAUAUAUGUGGUUAUAUUCUUUUGAAAACAUAAUAGAUUAGAUAGGAUGAUGUCUACAUUACAAUAACUAAUAAUAUGCUGUGCAUGUAUAGUAAUAUUAUGGUCAUGAAAUUAGCAUUAGCUUAUCUGACUCUUUCUCAUGGAACCCUGGUUGAGAAACACUGCAUUAAGAGUUCAUAUGUGGAAUAUUCAGCACUUACACAUUAAACAAAUUGAACAUUUAGUCUAUCAAACAACAGAUUGAUCAUCAGAGAAUCUAUCAUUUUACUGAAAUCAAAGAGGGUGAAAUACAGUUUACUUAACUGGAAUUUGAAACUGUGAAAUACCUUAAAAAAUCCAGAGACUGCAAAAUAUUUAGUCUGAUGGUUGUGCUACUGUUAGAAAUAGCAGCCAAUCUACCUCAAAUCAUACCCUAUAGUCUAUAUAUCCCACCAGACCAUGGGAUAUGUAUUUUGGAGUGGUUAUCCCCAUUCAGCCACAUAACCCAGAAAGGCAGGCACUGUGAACUGACAUGAGAGACAGGACUUUCUUAUGAUAUUUCUAUCAUUGUUCAAUGACUGGUUGUGCUAUUCAGUGGCUCACCAUAAAUAAAAUAUGGGGAGACAACACAAAAAAGUGAUGUGUAUAAAUAUAAACGAAUGAGGAGAGCUGCAUAAAGAAGUGAUUGUCACUGAAAGUGGAUGGUACCUGUAGAAGAGGAAGACCCAGGAUGAAAUGAUAAGGACCAAUCUUAGUAUGCUGGACGUCAUGGAGACAAUGACUAUGAACCGAGAUGUCUGGUGAUAUGAAGUUCUUGAAGAGACCCACCCCCAUCAGCAAAACUGAGUUCUAGAAGCGCAGUGUGCCCCACCACACUUAACAAGAAAAAUUCUCACACACUCUACCACAACAAACCAAACUACAGCUCUUCAUCUCUUCUCUUCUUUGCAUUUCCACUUCAUGCAUUAUGCUUACCUUCCACUCCCCAAUCCUGUCCUCUUGGCUCUGCUUCACUGUAUCAUAUCAUUACUAUCCGCUAGCCCCCCGACUUGUGUGUUCCACCCACACAUAAGAAAACUUUUCACACAUCCUACGCCAACAAACCAAUCUACAUCUCUUCUCUUCCUCACAUUUCCUCCUUCAUACACUAUGCCUACCUCUCACUCACUAAUCCUGUCUUCACAGCCCUGUUUCUCCAUAUCAUUGCUAUCCAACAGCCCCCCACCCUCACUCUAUAUAUACCCAGGUUUUCACCACUCACUUACCUACCCCUCCACACUCUCUAAUCCUGCACCUUUCACAAUAUCCUGCCAUGUAUAUUAUGACCUUCGAACCUCAAGGAUAUGCCUUGGAACUUGCCACCAGCUAUAUCUCUCUCUUUUUUUACUCAACCAUCUCAUGUUUAUUCUGAUUCCCAUCUGUUGUGAGUAUGCCCGGCACUUUGCCACCAUCUUUAUCUUGCUGUCUCCCACAUUCUCUCUCCUUCUCCUGCACUUCCCUCAAGUUGCAUAAUCAUGUAUCUCUUUGCAGUAGCACACCUGUUUCUGUCUCCAUUCUUGAUUUCUCUCUCUCUGGCUGGGUAACCUUGUACCUCCUCUACAGCAAGACACUUGUUUCUGUCUCUCUGUCUCACUAUAACCUUUCAUCAUCUGACACAAGAUCACCUCCUCCAAUGCCCCCUCUCCUCGCAAAUGAUUUUCUGUCUUGCAAGUUACUUGGUGACCCUGUCAAUGUAGGUGCCACUUAAAAAGCAUCCAGUCCACACAUUAUAGUGGUUGAUGUUUGGAAGGGUGUCCAGCAGUAAAAACCUUGCCUGUACUUGUGCAACAUUAAAAGCACUAAGUCCACUCUGCUGAGUGGUUGGCGUUAGGAAGGGCAACUAACUGCAAAAAUCCUGCCAAAACAGUUACAGGGGCCUGGUGCAGGCUCCUGGAAAACCAUCCCACCCAUGCCAGCAUGUAAGGUGGACAUUAAACAAUGAUGUCCACUCAGCUGGCAAAAAUGAGUUGUACCUUUAUUUCAAAGGGCCGGCCUUGUAACACUCUGUGUCACGCUGAAUCUCCCUGAGAAAUACGUUAGGGGUACACGUGUCUGUGGAUUGCUCAGUCACUUGCACAUUAAUUUCACAAGCAAGCUGUUCCAUUGAUCGUAUCAGCUGCGACCUUCAUCAUCAUAACCGAUGGAGUGCUCCCCACAAAAAGUGAUGAUGAUGAGGCAUAUUUGAACCUGUAAGAAAACCAUUUACUGUACUUUGCCAUGGGGAGGGUUUCUUGCUGUAGACAAAUAGAUGUAGAUACACCAAAUCAACUCAUGCAGCUCUCUAACCAGACUGUUGAAUGCAUGUAUUACUGUAUUUAUUGCAUAUGUAUGCAGAACUGCAUAUGUUACUAUAUUAACCACAUAUGUAUGCAGGGAUGCAUGUUUGAAUGUGUGUAAAUGUGUGAUACAACAGUGCAUAUGGCUUGGUAACAUGUACUAUGCCUUCACAAAUUGUUUUAGUUGCCUAUGAUGUCACAGGCAGACACUGACACCUUCACCUUUGUUUGACUCAGUGGAACAUCUAGAAUGUGACAGCAAGAGGGAGAAAGGGUUCCAUCAGCACUUGACUUGUACUCAUUAACCCUUUCAUUACUGUAUUUAUUUUAAGAUGCUCUAUGUUUCUUACAAUUACUUUAAAUAUAACAAAGAAUUUAGUAAAAUAAUCUAGUUAUCAUUAAGCUAGAGUUAGGAACAUAAAUUGUGACUAAAGUUUGGUGGAAGAUUUUAAUUCAAAACUUAUGAAAACAAGGCAUCUGUACUAAAGAGCCAGAGCCGGUUUCAGCCGGGUUGGUAACAAUUGGCCCAGGAUUUGAACACAUGAUGAGGGUCAAAAUGCUUGGCUCCUGAUAGCUGAGUUUAUCAAGUUCUAAGUUGUUAUUAUUAGAUCCCAGCUCAGCUUUGCAUACAUGCUCUUUUGACUAUUACGCACACAAAGCAGGUAUGCUAAGCUAAUAUUUUCUCUCUUGUUCUUUUAACAAUAUAAAAAAAGGGCUAUUUUACUUGAAAUACCAGAACUAAUUAAAUAUUUGUAAACUAACAUUUCAAUAUCUUUGUUAUUUUUAUUAUUGAUGUUUAAUAUUUGAUCUGCAUUGCUAUAGGCUUUCUGUAACACAAUGAUUUUCUACAUUUAAUUAAUUGGAAAAAGACAUUAAAUAUGAUUUUAUUAAUUUUCCAGAAUAAAUAUGAAACAAUACAUUUCCUUGAUUCUUUUGCUGUGUGGGGCAAUUCUCAUUGGUAACGUAUCAAACCUUUAUUUAUUGACAUAACACUAACUCCUAAAAGAAAGUUGAAACUAAAUAAAGAAAAAAUACUAUUCAUCAUCAACAUUUAAUGUCUGUUUUCUAUGCUGGCAUGGGUUGGACAGCUUGGCAGGAACUGGCAAUGCCAAGGAUCUUACCAGGUUUCUUAGUCUGAUUUGGCAGGGUUUCCAUUUUACAGUGUAUUGGGUGCUUUUUACAUGGCAUCAUCACUCACGUUGGCUUUGUGGGUUGGCUGCAUGUUGUGUUCUUGAGCAAGACACUUUAUUUCACAUUGCUUCAGUCCACUCAGCUGCAGAAAUGAGUUGCAAUGUCACAGGUGCCAAGCUGUAUCGGCCUUUGCCUUUCCCUUGGAUAACACUGGUGGCAUGGAGAGGGGAGGCUGGUAUGCAUGGGUGACUGCUGAUCUUCCAUAAACAACCUUGUACCUGGAAGGGUAACUUUCUAGGUACAAUCCCAUGGUUAGUCAUGACUGAAAGGGGUCUCAGCAGCCCUGUUUAUAUAUUUACUCUAUAGGUUACAUACAUCAUACCUUAGUACUGUGUGGACUAUAUCCCCAUUAACAGGCUCCUAAUAUUAAAGUGUUAACAUGUACAGUAUGAAAAUUAGUAGCUUCAAUUCUCUGUAGCUACUGGAAUUAUUGAAUAUAUAAACUGAUUGGCUGCUUCUAGCCCCUGUGCUGGUGACAUGUAAAAAGCACCCACUACACUCUCGGAGUGGUCGGCAUUAGGAAGGUCAUCCAGCUGUAGAAACACUGCCAGAUCAGCCUCCUGGCUUCCCAAACCCCAGUCGAACCAUCCAUCAUGGAAAACGAACGUUAAACGAUGAUGAUGAUGAUGGUCAAAUUGAUGUGUCUCUGAUGAGAAUCUUAUAAGAUUUGAAAAUUAAUUAAUGUUGUUUGUCAUUUUUUCGAUCUAUGGAGAAAUAGCUAAAUUAGCCCUAUUUCUAUACCUACUACAUAGGUUUUAUAUAUAUAUAUAUAUAUGUGGGCCUCAUGGAGGCAAAGUGGCUGAGCUCCUUUCAAGUGUUGGGCCUCAUGGAAGAAAUGACCAAAACAUUUUGGCAUUAUGUUGUGCUUGAGAAGAAGACCCAUCAAGUUGAGCAAAAUCACAGUCGUGGCAGAUGCCGGUGUCAAGCAAAUGGCACCUGUGCUGGUGGCACAUAAAAGCACCCAUUACACUCUCAGAGUGGUUGGUGUUAGGAAGGGCAUACAGCUGUAGAAAACCUUGCCAAAUCAGACUGGAUCCUGGUGCAGCCUUCUGGCAUGCCAGCCCAAUCAAACUGUCCGACCCAUACCAGCAUGGCCAACAGAUGUUAAAUGAUGAUGAUGGUGUGUGUGUGUGUACCUUUGUCUUGACAUUAUGUGAUGGUUGUAGAUGAGUAUCAUACAAGCAAUGUUGUUUCUUUCCCUGAAAAACAUACCUGGCUAAAGGAACAUAUCACCUUGCUUAGAAACAGAUGAGGGUUGGCAACAGGAAGGGCAUUCAACUGUAAAAAGUUCAGUGUCCUUGCAACAUGAUUGCUUUCCCAGUGGACUAACGUCAGAUGUAGUCAGCAUUUGUGAAGGAUAUGGUGAACUCAUUUGUCAUGGUUGUCUCAACCCACCCCAGGUAAAUGCCUCUGCAAAUGCAAGUAGUAAAGUACACAUGCCAUUCUUAAUCCAUCUGAAAAUGAUGUUAAGGGGACAUAUGUUUGUGGGGUAGUAAGCCACAGAGAUGCUAAUUCAAUCACAUAAGUAUUUCAGUCAAUCGAACUAUUGAAACACUCCAUAUUGAAACUGCCACAAAUCUGUUUUCUCUGAUUUCAUUAAAAUUAAUAAGUUGCAAAUUUAAAGAUAUAUGAAUUCUGUUAAGUUUUCUUGGAUUUGAUGAUAAAGUGAAAAGUCAUCGUCAGGUUCAGACCUCAAAAAUAGAUGUAAAUUUCUCUUAUUUAUUUUAAUUUGAAAUAAUGUUUUUAAUUGGUAUAAUUUUAUGUUAGGGUUUUAUAUUCAUCAUCGUUUAACGCCCACUUUCCAUGCUGGCAUGGGUUGGAUGGUUUGACUGAGGACUGGUGAGCCAGAAGGCUGCACCGGCACCAAUCUGAUCUGGCAAAGUUUCUACAGCUAGAUAACCUUCCUAACGCCAACCACUUUGACAGUGUAGUGGGUGCUUUUACAUGCCACCAGCUGGAGGGCCUGGCAACAACCACGCUCAAAAGGUGUUUAUUACAUGCUACCUGUACGAAAGCCAGUCCAGUGGCACUAGCAACGACCACACUCGAAUGUUGUUUUUCACGUGCCACCAGCAUGGGAGCCAAUCUGUAGCCCUAGCAAUAAUCACGCUCGGAUGUGCCAUUAACGUUCCACUGGCAUUAGUGCUAAUCAAGUGGUACUGUCAUCAGCCACGUCAGCGAUUUUGAUUUGAUUUCACUUGCCUCAAUAGGUCUUUACAAGCAAAGUUUAUUGUUCAAUGAAUGAGAGGUACUCAUAAGUGGGGUGAUUUCACCCCAGGCUCGGAUGUGCUUUUAAUGUUCCACCGGCACGAGUGCCAAUCAGGCGGUAGUCAUCGGCCACGUCAGUGAUUUGGAUUUCACUUGCCUAGGUCUUCGCAAGCAAAGUUUAUUGUCCAAUGAAUGAGGGGUAUUCAUAUGUGGGCUAGUUACGCCCACUGGCAUAGGCCAUGGGUUAUGGUCUCACUUGGCUUGUCAGAUCUUCUCAAGCACAGCAUAUCUCCAAAAGUCUUGGUCACUGGUCAUUGUCUUGGUAAGGCUCAAUGUUCAAAGGUUGUGCUUCACCACCUUAUCCCAGGUCUUCCUGGGUCUACCUCUUCCACAAGUUCCCUCAACUGCUAGGGUGUGACACUUUUUUCAUGCAGCUGUCCUUAUUCAUUCACAACACAUGACCAUACCAGCGCAGUCAUCUCUCUUGCACACCACAUCUGAUGCUUCUUGAAUCCAACUUUUCUCUCAGGGCACUUACACUCUGUUAUAUAUGCACACUGACAUUACACAUCCAGCGGAGCAUACUGGCUUCAUUCCUUGCAAGCUUACGCAUGUCCUCAGCAAUCAUGGCCCAUGUUUCACUGCCAUGUAGCAUGGCUGUUCAUACACAUGCAUCAUACAGUCUACCUUUGUGAGAGGCCCUUUGUCACCAGCAGAGGUAGGAGCUCUCUGAACUUUGCCCAGGCUAUUCUUAUUCUAGCAGUUACACUUUCAGAGCAUCCAUCCCUGCUACUAACUUGGUCCCCUAGGUAAUGGAGACUAUAAACUACUUGUUUUUCUCCCUGGAAUGUGACAGAAGCUGUUCUCUGCACAUAUUCAGUGUUUAUAGCACCUGAGCAUUUGCCACAUACAAAAACUAUCUUCCCAGUUAACUGAUGUGGCUCCCAGCCUUGACAGUUCCUGUCAAACCAUGCAACCCAUAUCAGCAUGGAAAAUGGAUGUUAAAUGAUGAUUGAUGAUAUUAUUCCAAGUAUCCAUUUCUUUUUUUUCCAGCAACAGUAACUUGUGUGGAGACAUCACUCUGCUAUGAUAGCUUGACUAGUUGUAAUGCUGCCUGUGGAGGAAGUGAUGAGCAGUGUAACGAGUACUCGUGUGCUACUUGGACUGCCAGCUGUAUUGUAUGCAACUGUGCCCUACCAAAUUUUCAACCAUAAUACACCAGCACCAAUGGAAUCUCCUUAUGGUUUAUUCCCAAUAAAGACCGCUCUAAUUGAAGGACUUGGAUUAAAGAUAUUUUUAAUGUUUUAUUUUUCAAUGUCAUCAUGAUGUACAAAAAUAUGUGCAAAUUUUUCCCAGUGAGAAAAAAAAAUUUAAGAGAGUAUACUGAAUUUUUUUAUCAACUUAAUUUUUGCUGAUUAAACAAGUUAUCAAUUUGCCAAC